GACGUAGGGCGCGAGCGUUGUCCGGAUUUAUUGGGCGUAAAGAGCUCGUAGGCGGCUUGUCGCGUCGAAUGUGAAAACCCACAGCUCAACUGUGGGCUUGCAUUCGAUACGGGCAGGCUAGAGUUCGGUAGGGGAGACUGGAAUUCCUGGUGUAGCGGUGAAAUGCGCAGAUAUCAGGAGGAACACCGGUGGCGAAAGGCGGGGUCUCUGG
rnacentral:rRNA from 1 species